rnacentral:rRNA from 1 species
UACGUAGGUGGCGAGCGUUGUCCGGAUUUACUGGGUGUAAAGGGCGUGUAGGCGGGGAAACAAGUCAGAUGUGAAAUUCCGUGGCUUAACUGCGGGGCUGCAUCUGAAACUGUUUUUCUUGAGUGCUGGAGAGGAAAGUGGAAUUCCCAGUGUAGCGGUGAAAUGCGUAGAGAUUGGGAGGAACACCAGUGGCGAAGGCGGCUUUCUGGACAGUAACUGACGCUGAGGCGCGAAAGCGUGGGGAGCAAACAGG